UACGUAGGGUGCGAGCGUUGUCCGGAAUUAUUGGGCGUAAAGAGCUCGUAGGCGGUCUGUCGCGUCGGAUGUGAAAACUCGGGGCUCAACCCCGAGCCUGCAUUCGAUACGGGCAGACUAGAGUUCGGUAGGGGAGACUGGAAUUCCUGGUGUAGCGGUGAAAUGCGCAGAUAUCAGGAGGAACACCGGUGGCGAAGGCGGCGUUCUGGACUGUUUCUGACACUGAAAAACGAAAGCCAGGGGAGCAAACGGG
rnacentral:rRNA from 1 species